rnacentral:rRNA from 1 species
CACCUACGGGAGGCAGCAGUGGGGAAUAUUGGACAAUGGGCGCAAGCCUGAUCCAGCAAUGCCGCGUGAGUGAUGAAGGCCUUAGGGUUGUAAAGCUCUUUCGCACGCGACGAUGAUGACGGUAGCGUGAGAAGAAGCCCCGGCUAACUUCGUGCCAGCAGCCGCGGUAAUACGAAGGGGGCUAGCGUUGUUCGGAAUGACUGGGCGUAAAGGGCGCGUAGGCGGUUGAUCAAGUUGGGGGUGAAAGCCCGGGGCUUAACCUCGGAAUUGCCUUCAAGACUGGUCAGCUAGAGUGUGGAAGAGGGUUGUGGAAUUCCCAGUGUAGAGGUGAAAUUCGUAGAUAUUGGGAAGAACACCAGUGGCGAAGGCGACAACCUGGUCCAUUACUGACGCUGAGGCGCGACAGCGUGGGGAGCAAACAGGAUUAGAUACCCUGGUAGUCCACGCCGUAAACGAUGAGUGCUGGAUGUUGGGCGGUUGCCGCUCAGUGUCGAAGUUAACGCGAUAAGCA